rnacentral:rRNA from 1 species
AGAGUUUGAUCCUGGCUCAGGGUGAACGCUGGCGGCGCGCUUAAUGCAUGCAAGUCGAGCGAGAAGCCGGCUUCGGCCGGUAGAGAGCGGCAGACGGCUGAGUAACGCGUGAGUAACUUGCCCUCCGGUGGGGUAUACACUCGGGAAACUGAGGAUAAUCCCGCAUACGACCCGGUCCCCUUGGGGAUCAGGUGAAAGGCUUCGGUCGCCGGAGGAGAGGCUCGCGUCCUAUCAGGUAGUUGGUGGGGUAAAAGCCUACCAAGCCGAUGACGGGUAGCUGGUCUGAGAGGAUGACCAGCCAGAGGGGGACUGAGACACGGCCCCCACUCCUACGGGAGGCAGCAGCAGGGAAUCUUGGGCAAUGGGCGAAAGCCUGACCCAGCGACGUCGCGUGGAGGACGAAGGCCUUCGGGUUGUAAACUCCUUUUCCGAGGGAAGAUUUCGGACGGUACCUCGGGAAUAAGCCCCGGCUAACUACGUGCCAGCAGCCGCGGUAAUACGUAGGGGGCAAGCGUUACCCGGAAUUACUGGGCGUAAAGUGCGCGUAGGCGGUUGGAUAAGUCUCUUGUGAAAGCUCCCGGCUCAACUGGGAGAGGUCAAGGGAUACUAUUCGACUAGAGGACAGCAGAGGUAAGCGGAAUUCCCGGUGUAGCGGUGGAAUGCGUAGAUAUCGGGAGGAACACCAGCGGCGAAAGCGGCUUACUGGGCUGUAGCUGACGCUGAGGCGCGAGAGCGUGGGGAGCAAACUGGAUUAGAUACCCAGGUAGUCCACGCCCUAAACGAUGGAUACUAGGUAUGGGGGGUAUUGACCCCCUCCGUGCCGUAGCUAACGCGUUAAGUAUCCCGCCUGGGGACUACGGCCGCAAGGCUAAAACUCAAAGGAAUUGACGGGGGCCCGCACAAGCGGUGGAGCGUGUGGUUUAAUUCGAUGCUAAGCGAAGAACCUUACCUGGGCUUGACAUGUUGGUAGUAGCGCGCCGAAAGGCGUCGCGAUCCCGGGGUAACUCGGGAAGCCUUCACAGGUGCUGCAUGGCUGUCGUCAGCUCGUG